rnacentral:rRNA from 2 species
UUAAAUGGCCGCGGUAUUUUGACCGUGCUAAGGUAGCAUAAUCAUUAGUUUUUUAAUUGAAAACUGGAAUGAAGGGUUGGAUGAAAAAAAAUCUGUCUUUAUUUAAAUAAAUAGAAUUUUAUUUUUAAGUUAAAAAGCUUAAAUUAUAUUAAAAGACGAGAAGACCCUAUAGAGUUUUAUAAUAAAAAUUUAAUUUUUAUAAAGUAUUAAAUUAAUUAUUAAAAUAUUAUUAUUUAAUUGGGGUGAUUAAAAAAUUUAAUUAACUUUUUUUAUAUUUUUAUAUUAAUUUAUAGAUAUUUGAUCCAUUUAUAUGAUUAAAAGAUUAAAUUACCUUAGGGAUAACAGCGUAAUUUUAUUGGAGAGUU